GACGAACUUUGGCGGCGUGCUUAACACAUGCAAGUCGAACGGAAAGGCCCUGCUUUUGUGGGGUGCUCGAGUGGCGAACGGGUGAGUAACACGUGAGUAACCUGCCCUUGACUUUGGGAUAACUUCAGGAAACUGGGGCUAAUACCGGAUGGGAGCUCCUGCUGCAUGGUGGGGGUUGGAAAGUUUCGGCGGUUGGGGAUGGACUCGCGGCUUAUCAGCUUGUUGGUGGGGUAGUGGCUUACCAAGGCUUUGACGGGUAGCCGGCCUGAGAGGGUGACCGGCCACAUUGGGACUGAGAUACGGCCCAGACUCCUACGGGAGGCAGCAGUGGGGAAUAUUGCACAAUGGGCGGAAGCCUGAUGCAGCAACGCCGCGUGCGGGAUGACGGCCUUCGGGUUGUAAACCGCUUUCGCCUGUGACGAAUCGUGAGUGACGGUAAUGGGUAAAGAAGCACCGGCUAACUACGUGCCAGCAGCCGCGGUGAUACGUAGGGUGCGAGCGUUGUCCGGAUUUAUUGGGCGUAAAGGGCUCGUUGGUGGUUGAUCGCGUCGGAAGUGUAAUCUUGGGGCUUAACCCUGAGCGUGCUUUCGAUACGGGUUGACUUGAGGAAGGUAGGGGAGAAUGGAAUUCCUGGUGGAGCGGUGGAAUGCGCAGAUAUCAGGAGGAACACCAGUGGCGAAGGCGGUUCUCUGGGCCUUUCCUGACGCUGAGGAGCGAAAGCGUGGGGAGCGAACAGGCUUAGAUACCCUGGUAGUCCACGCUGUAAACGGUGGGUACUAGGUGUGGGGUCCAUUCCACGGGUUCCGUGCCGUAGCUAACGCUUUAAGUACCCCGCCUGGGGAGUACGGCCGCAAGGCUAAAACUCAAAGGAAUUGACGGGGCCCCGCACAAGCGGCGGAGCAUGCGGAUUAAUUCGAUGCAACGCGUAGAACCUUACCUGGGUUUGACAUGGAUCGGGAGUGCUCAGAGAUGGGUGUGCCUCUUUUGGGGUCGGUUCACAGGUGGUGCAUGCCUGUCGUCAGCUCGUGUCGUGAGAUGUUGGGUUAAGUCCCGCAACGAGCGCAACCCUUGUUCACUGUUGCCAGCACGUUAUGGUGGGGACUCAGUGGAGACCGCCGGGGUCAACUCGGAGGAAGGUGGGGAUGACGUCAAGUCAUCAUGCCCCUUAUGUCCAGGGCUUCACGCAUGCUACAAUGGCUGGUACAGAGAGUGGCGAGCCUGUGAGGGUGAGCGAAUCUCGGAAAGCCGGUCUCAGUUCGGAUUGGGGUCUGCAACUCGACCUCAUGAAGUCGGAGUCGCUAGUAAUCGCAAAAAAGCAACGCUGCGGUGAAUACGUUCCCGGGGCU
rnacentral:rRNA from 1 species